CCCGCUGAACUUAAGCAUAUCAAUAAGCGGAGGAAAAGAAACUAACAAGGAUUCCCCUAGUAACUGCGAGUGAAGAGGGAAAAGCUCAAAUUUAAAAUCUGGCAGUCUUUGAUUGUCCGAGUUGUAAUUUAGAGAAGUGUUACCCGUGUUGGGCCGUGUAUAAGUCUCCUGGAAUGGAGCGUCAUAGAGGGUGAGAAUCCCGUAUGCGACUGGGUGCCUAAGCCUGUGUGAAGCUCCUUCGACGAGUCGAGUUGUUUGGGAAUGCAGCUCAAAAUGGGUGGUAAAUUUCAUCUAAAGCUAAAUAUUGGCCAGAGACCGAUAGCGCACAAGUAGAGUGAUCGAAAGAUGAAAAGCACUUUGAAAAGAGAGUUAAACAGUAUGUGAAAUUGUUGAAAGGGAAGCGCUUGCAACCAGACUUGCGUAUAACGGUUCCCCCAAUCUUCUGACUGGGCUAUUCUGUUAUAUCCAGGCCAGCAUCGGUUUGGGUGGUUGUUUAAAGACUUUAGGAAUGUAUCUACCUUCGGGUCGACUUAUAGCCUAAUGUGUAAUACAGCCUAUCUAGACCGAGGAACGCGCUUUUUGCUCGGAUGCUGGCGUAAUGGUCGUAAGCGGCCCGUCUUGAAACACGG
rnacentral:rRNA from 1 species